UACGUAGGGUGCGAGCGUUGUCCGGAAUUAUUGGGCGUAAAGAGCUCGUAGGCGGUCUGUCGCGUCGGUCGUGAAAACUUGGGGCUUAACCCUGAGCUUGCGGUCGAUACGGGCAUGACUGGAGUUCGGUAGGGGAGACUGGAAUUCCUGGUGUAGCGGUGAAAUGCGCAGAUAUCAGGAGGAACACCGGUGGCGAAGGCGGGUCUCUGGGCCGAUACUGACGCUGGGGUGCGAAAGCAUGGGGAGCGAACAGG
rnacentral:rRNA from 1 species